AUACCGGGAGUGGGGUUAGCACUUGGGUAGCAGCUUUUUCUUGCACAAAUUACCGUCGUUACUCUCAAAUGUAUUUCCAGUUGCUGUUUCAGACAGCAGGGUCAUUUUUCUGCUUUAUUUAUGAAAGCUUCUCAAAUUGUUUUCCGUUUUUCAUGCAGGACACAUAGCUGCUCACAAUUUGCCUCUUAUGUCUUUUUUAACUUAAGCAAUGGUUUCACUGAAAACUGUUGCCAAUAAAUAAGGUACUGGUAGUUCUUAAAGAGCAUCAACAGACCCAAAAUGUUGUGCUGCAGCGAGCGCUUUCUUCACUGGUUAAUGGAUUUAUUUAUUUUAUUGAGUCUUUGAUCAGACCCUCAACAUUUUCAGAGGUAAGUAGAAGAGCAAAAACAACGCUUAAAAUAAGCAGCGCUUGGUCAAAUAGGACCUAGGCUGGAAACUGGCAUCUUUCUUUCUCUGAUGUCAUUCACCACACAGUGGCGUGAAGCCCGAAUGAGGGAGGAGUUAAUGCUUCAUCUUAAAGCUUACAUAUUUCAGAGCCUAGAGAGUUUUCUCAAAGAGCUCCUGUGUGUUUUUUGGAAUGGUGAGGGUAUGUUUUUUGCUGAGCACAUGUCCAGCUUCCUCUAAUCAAGGAUUUCCUCCAAGAGUUCUUAAUGGAUAUGGCUUCUGGGAUUUACAAAAGCUGUGGUCAGGUGGAGCUGGGCUCCUGCAAGGUUCAGUUUAUCUAACGGUUCUUUUUUUUGGCACAGGAUGCUGCCUGUUCAGGCACUGAGGUUGUUCUGUGCCAACAUAAGCCUUAGCUGCUGCUAACGUAGAUACUGCUGAUAUGAUCGGUUGAUUGGUCCUGGGGUUGGUUUCAGUACAAACAGACUCAUCUUCGAGUGUUGAAUGUCCACUGAAAAGUUCCUGAGAGUCUCUGGACUAGCAGCAUUAACGUGAUAAUCUAUGGCCUAGCUACGUUAAGAAGCUCAUUAGCUUGCCUGUUCUAUCUGAAUAUUGACUAAAAUAAAGUGCAGCUGGUGCUGUGCACUUUUUUUCAUAAAUUGUCAUUAUCUGGUGAGAGCAACCUUCUGCUUUCCUUCAAGUACGGCCUGAACAUGCAAAAUUGAAAGAUAAUUUUCUACGGAAACAACCUGUGUCAGGUCACCCCCAGAAGGAGUCCUUGUGUCAGGCUUCAAUGAACUGCCCAGGGAGGGUUUAGAUAUGUUUCUGCUCCCGUUUGAUAACUGUUUCCUGUAAUAAUAAAUAUGACAGGCUGCUAUAUGUAAAAGCAAACUGAACAGUUUGUCUGACAAGUUCGGUACAAGAUAAGUGCCAAAACCAGGUUUCACUUCGUGCUGCAGACAGCUCCCGGCUCUGCGUGAGGUCCUGGCUAGCCCAGGGCUUCUGAGCCUCGUGCAGUCUUACCCUGACGUACCGAAUGCUGCAUUUUGUCGUGCUGUCGUUUGCACAGUACCUUCAACACUUGAAGACCUUAAUAACUUGCAAUUAAGAUUGUGCUGUUCAUAGUAACGAGUUGCACAAGAAAUGGCUUCCUCCUCAGUAUUUUAUACUUGGCAUUUGCUCUGCUGCCCUGGGGGAAGGGGACGGUGAAAUUCUGUAGUUGUUCUUUUUAUGACCGCCGGAGUCGCAGCAGCCAUUUCUUGUUUCAACACACCAUGUUGAUGAUUGUGCUCCUUUUCUCAGUCUUCUUGUCUUUGCUUAUGAAGAGCAGUAAGAGCUGGAGAGAUUUCUCUGAAAGUUUUGCCAUAAGCAUCCUAGAGUGUGAGCGUAAAAGAAGACUGGAAAAGUAAUGGUUAAUGGCAUGCAGUCCCCUGUCUCUCUUCCCUCUGACUCUUCUCACCAUCUGCUUUUUUCUGUUCGUUUUGCAUCUGUCAUUUCUGUCGGGGCUCUGGGUUAAUAGCUUAGGUGGUGAAAUGAACCCUUUUUAGUUCUCGUGAAAACUGGCGUUCCUUCUGAUCGUGGACUGGAAGGGGCUUGAAUUGUAUGGCGCUGUGGGGAGCAAUCCGGGGCCUUAAUCGAGAGCAGGGGAAAUGAAACUUUUUCCAGGCCUUGAGAUGAAAGGUGCCGAUUUGGGUGAACAAUGAGCAGUUCUAAAAAAUAGUUGAUAACGAAAGGGGCACGUUCUAAUUACUGAGGUGUGAAUGCUUGGGGUUUUCUAAUUGAAAAAAAAAAAAAUUCACAAUUUUAUGAUGUUAUAUUCAGUACUGGGGAAAAUACUCAUUUAAAGUAGAUUUCCUAAAGUCUUGUCUUUCUGCCUUGCAAAUGAAUAGCACUUUCAUUCCCUUAGUCUUUUUUUUAUUAUUAUUUCUAUUAAAUCUUCUAACACCGCACAUCUCCUUCCAGAGCUGAGCUGAUGUCCCUAUGCCAUUUCCGUUCUAGAAAGGGCGUGAUCAUAAAAUCAAAGAGAUUGAGAGAUGAAUUUAAGGAGCAUGCUGUUUUGUUAUUUUUACCCAAAUAAUUCUUGUGUAUUUGAUUCUUUGUUAGUAAAACUAGCCUAGCUAGAUUUUUUUCUAAGGUGUUUUGUAAUUUCAGCUCCUCUCAGUGGGCCUUUUUGUUUUAUUUGGUGUCCCAAGCAGCCCCAAGAGGGUCAGAGGUGCCAUUAAACACAGCCCCAAGAGGGUCAGAGGUGCCAUUAAACACUUAUAAGAGGUGCUCUCUCAAGUGAGGUGGAUCCAAAAUUUUCACGUGCUAACCUCUUUAUGUUUUAUAUGCUGAAAUGUGGUGAUCAGAAGCCAUGCUUCGACUGCUCUUACCAUUUGCCUCGCAAAAACUAUCAGAGAGAACCUUGCUUUCUGCUAAAUGCAAUCCAAGCCUCUCAAAACUUGAACGGUCUUGUUGUUCUUCAGCACCUUGAAUCUUAACUCAUCGCUGGCGUGGUUGGUGUGCCUGUUUUGUUUUGGGGUACCAAACCUGUUUUGCUGUGUUCUUUGUGACACCCGAUUUUCAUUCUGUGUAUCUGAUGUUGCAACGAGUUGGCGUAAGGUCAAAAGGACCAGAACUUGUUGCCUUUCCAAAGCAAAUUAAGGGCUCCCUUAUUUUUGUAACAUCUAUAAGCUAAAGCAAAUGUGUGGAC